UACGAAGGGGGCUAGCGUUGCUCGGAAUCACUGGGCGUAAAAGGUGCGUAGGCGGGUCUUUAAGUCAGGGGUGAAAUCCUGGAGCUCAACUCCAGAACUGCCUUUGAUACUGAAGAUCUUGAGUUCGGGAGAGGUGAGUGGAACUGCGAGUGUAGAGGUGAAAUUCGUAGAUAUUCGCAAGAACACCAGUGGCGAAGGCGGCUCACUGGCCCGAUACUGACGCUGAGGAGCGAAAGCGUGGGGAGCGAACAGG
rnacentral:rRNA from 1 species